rnacentral:lncRNA from 1 species
AGGAUCACACUCUCUUUUUUCUGAAACCAUCUGCGUGCAUUUCAAUUGCAGGAUAUAUGAUUGCCUAUGGAAUCAAUUAGAGUUAAUUGGAAAUAAGCAAGUUGUGCUGAUGCAGGAGUCACUGCAUACUCUAUAUGUAGAUACAUUCAUACGUAAAGAAAAAGAGAUAAAAGUAUAUGGUUGGCUAUAAUAUGGAAAGUUUAAAAAGUUAAAAUCCACAAAGCAUAAAGUAUAAAUAUGGAAUCUGGAAGCACUGAAAAAGCAUUGUAUUGAAUCUGGAUACUAUGUAGAGAGAAAAAUAAGAUAUGUUUGGCUAUAAUCAAGAGAAUGCGAGAAAAAACGCAAAAA